AGAGUUUGAUCCUGGCUCAGGACGAACGCUGGCGGCGUGCUUAACACAUGCAAGUCGAACGAUGAAGCUGGAGCUUGCUCCGGUGGAUUAGUGGCGAACGGGUGAGUAACACGUGAGAAAUCUGCCCUUGACUCUGGGAUAACUGCGGGAAACUGUAGCUAAUACCGGAUACUUUCCUUGGUGGGCAUCCACUGGGGAAGAAAGAAUUUCGGUCAAGGAUGAUCUCGCGGCCUAUCAGCUUGUUGGUGAGGUAAUGGCUCACCAAGGCGACGACGGGUAGCCGGCCUGAGAGGGUGACCGGCCACACUGGGACUGAGACACGGCCCAGACUCCUACGGGAGGCAGCAGUGGGGAAUAUUGCACAAUGGGCGCAAGCCUGAUGCAGCAACGCCGCGUGAGGGACGAAGGCCUUCGGGUUGUAAACCUCUUUUAGCAGGGAAGAAGCGAAAGUGACGGUACCUGCAGAAAAAGCACCGGCUAACUACGUGCCAGCAGCCGCGGUAAUACGUAGGGUGCAAGCGUUGUCCGGAAUUAUUGGGCGUAAAGAGCUCGUAGGCGGUUUGUCACGUCUGCUGUGAAAUUUCGAGGCUCAACCUCGAACUUGCAGUGGGUACGGGCAGGCUAGAGUGCGGUAGGGGAGAUGGGAAUUCCUGGUGUAGCGGUGGAAUGCGCAGAUAUCAGGAGGAACACCAAUGGCGAAGGCACAUCUCUGGGUCGUAACUGACGCUGAGGAGCGAAAGCGUGGGGAGCAAACA
rnacentral:rRNA from 1 species